rnacentral:rRNA from 1 species
ACGAACGCUGGCGGCGUGCUUAACACAUGCCAGUCGAACGGAAAGGCCCUGCUUUUGUGGGGUGCUCGAGUGGCGAACGGGUGAGUAACACGUGAGUAACCUGCCCUUGACUUUGGGAUAACUUCAGGAAACUGGGGCUAAUACCGGAUAGGAGCUCCUGCUGCAUGGUGGGGGUUGGAAAGUUUCGGCGGUUGGGGAUGGACUCGCGGCUUAUCAGCUUGUUGGUGGGGUAGUGGCUUACCAAGGCUUUGACGGGUAGCCGGCCGGAGGGGGUGACCGGCCACAUUGGGACUGAGAUACGGCCCAGACUCCUACGGGAGGCAGCAGUGGGGAAUAUUGCACAAUGGGCGGAAGCCUGAUGCAGCAACGCCGCGUGCGGGAUGACGGCCUUCGGGUUGUAAACCGCUUUCGCCUGUGACGAAGCGUGAGUGACGGUAAUGGGUAAAGAAGCACCGGCUAACUACG